rnacentral:rRNA from 1 species
GACGAACGCUGGCGGCGUGCUUAACACAUGCAAGUCGAACGCUGAAGCUUGGUGCUUGCACUGGGUGGAUGAGUGGCGAACGGGUGAGUAAUACGUGAGUAACCUGCCCUUGACUCUGGGAUAAGCCUGGGAAACUGGGUCUAAUACUGGAUACGACAUGUCACCGCAUGGUGGUGUGUGGAAAGGGUUUUACUGGUUUUGGAUGGGCUCACGGCCUAUCAGCUUGUUGGUGGGGUAAUGGCUCACCAAGGCGACGACGGGUAGCCGGCCUGAGAGGGUGACCGGCCACACUGGGACUGAGACACGGCCCAGACUCCUACGGGAGGCAGCAGUGGGGAAUAUUGCACAAUGGGCGGAAGCCUGAUGCAGCGACGCCGCGUGAGGGAUGAUGGCCUUCGGGUUGUAAACCUCUUUCAGCACGGAAGAAGCGAAAGUGACGGUACGUGCAGAAGAAGCGCCGGCUAACUACGUG